rnacentral:rRNA from 1 species
AUUGAACGCUGGCGGCAGGCCUAACACAUGCAAGUCGAACGAGUGGCGGACGGGUGAGUAAUGUCUGGGAAACUGCCUGAUGGAGGGGGAUAACUACUGGAAACGGUAGCUAAUACCGCAUACCAUCAGAUUUGCCCAGAUGGGAUUGGCGUGUUGGUGGGGUAACGGCUAACCAAGGCGACGAUCGCUAGCUGGCCUGAGGGGAGGACCAGCCACACUGGACCUGAGACACGGUCCAGACUCUGACGGGAGGCAGCAGUGGGGAAUAUUGCAAAAUGGGCGCAAGCCCGAUGCAGCCAUGCCGCGGGUAUGAAGAAGGCCUUCGGGUUGUAAAGUACGUUCAGCGGGGAGGCGUUACCCGCAGAAGAAGCACCGGCUAACUCCGUGCCAGCAGCCGCGGUAAUUC